CAAGAAAAUGGGGAUGGAUAGGUCACACACUUAGAAAACCAGUCGACAACGUCACAAGGCAAGCACUAGACUGGAACCCACAGGGAAAAAGGAAAGUGGGGCGGCCCAAACAGUCAUGGAGAAGGUCAGUCGAGAGCAAAGCGAAUGACGCCGGAGUGACAUUGACCCAGCUUAAGAGAGCAGCCCAGAACAGAGUGCGUUGGCGUGUUGCAGCCCUAUGCUCCAAUAGGUGAUGUCGUCAACCUCAAAAGAUUCCAUUGUCGCAACAAUAGUGCCAGAGUGAAAGAUCCACCGUCAAGAUUCCUUCAAAGUGUGACAACGCCCCGGUUACAGAUGCUAAUUUCGUGCUGACAGGCUGUACGUUCAACGGAUUAAAGUUUGAUUACUUGGUGAUAUUUGUUUGGCAGCCUAAUACUUUCACUGGCAACAAGAUUCACCGGAAUAUCUAGCUCGACUAGAAAACCAGAGACUUGGAAGUUGGAUAAAAUUGAACAAGGAAAAAUUUUGGACUACAUUCUUUCUACAAUUUGAAAAUUAUAAUCAUUUAUGUCUUGCUAUGCCUUAUUUGUAGUUCAAUCAACCGUUGUUGGAGUUGUUCUUUAAUCGCCAAAUUAUUCCACUAAGCUUUUCACCAUGCACUAAUUUUUCACCAAAAUUUCACCCAUUGCACCAAAAUUUCACCAAAUGCACCACAGUUUCACCAAACUACACCAAGCAUCAAAUUUUCACCAAGCACCAAAUUUUCACCAAGCACCAAAUCUCACCAAUCACUUAAUUUUGUAAUACAUUAUAAUUAAUUUUGGCUCUUUUUAAGCAAAUAAUUAUAGAACAGUACAUCUAUUUCGAGUAGCUAUAAAUUUCCAAGGGGCACAACGGUAUUUGGGAUACAAUUUUUAGACAAGAUCAUAUUUGUAAUCCAGAAUAUUUAUCACACAUUUUCAAGUAUCCCACCGCUGCCACCAAAUAAAUGUUACGCCUGAACCCCCGUAAUAGAUAAACACCCUAGGGUAGCGUGGUGUGAUCCCCGAGCGGCAAGGGACUGAUUUCCUUAUGAUUACUAGGGGCUGGACGCUAGCAUUUAAAAAUAAAUCGACAAACACACUAGUCACGCAUUUAUUAUUUUUUUGAGUACGUUUAAAUGUAGUUAAAAUAUCAUAAAAGUGUAUUUCAUUCACUAAUCAAUAAAAUCAACGUACAAGAUUAAUUUAACAUACCAUCGAGCUCGGAGCCUCGGCUUCCAUCGUGAAUCGAACGCCCCGCAAACUCGACUAUUUAUGACGUCACUUUACACAGAGCGUUCUUUGGUAAAAACCGAGAGAUACCGGAACUAACGAAAAUACAGUUUAACAAUCAGCGGUAUUUAAACAGAUAAUUAAGAGGUUCAAAGUCGUCGAACAGAGUGAAUAUUCGGCGUAAAUAUAAAUUAGUUUCUAUAUUUUCGAU